rnacentral:rRNA from 1 species
AACGAACGCUGGCGGCAUGCCUAACACAUGCAAGUCGAACGAAGUCUUCGGACUUAGUGGCGCACGGGUGCGUAACGCGUGGGAAUCUGCCCUUGGGUGCGGAAUAACUUCUCGAAAGGGAUGCUAAUACCGCAUAAUGUCGUAAGACCAAAGAUUUAUCGCCCAAGGAUGAGCCCGCGUAAGAUUAGCUAGUUGGUGGGGUAAAAGCCUACCAAGGCGACGAUCUUUAGCUGGUCUGAGAGGAUGAUCAGCCACACUGGGACUGAGACACGGCCCAGACUCCUACGGGAGGCAGCAGUGGGAAUAUUGGACAAUGGGCGAAAGCCUGAUCCAGCAAUGCCGCGUGAGUGAUGAAGGCCCUAGGGUUGUAAGCUCUUUACCCGAGAUGAUAAU